rnacentral:rRNA from 1 species
GAUGAACGCUGGCGGCGUGCCUAAUACAUGCCAGUCGAGCGAACAGACGAGGAGCUUGCUCCUCUGACGUUAGCGGCGGACGGGUGAGUAACACGUGGAUAACCUACCUAUAAGACUGGGAUAACUUCGGGAAACCGGAGCUAGUACCGGAUAAUAUAUUGAACCGCAUGGUUCAAUAGUGAAAGACGGUUUUGCUGUCACUUAUAGAUGGAUCCGCGCCGCAUUAGCUAGUUGGUAAGGUAACGGCUUACCAAGGCAACGAUGCGUAGCCGACCUGAGAGGGUGAUCGGCCACACUGGAACUGAGACACGGUCCAGACUCCUACGGGAGGCAGCAGUAGGGAAUCUUCCGCAAUGGGCGAAAGCUUGACGGAGCAACGCCGCGUGAGUGAUGAAGGUCUUCGGAUCGUAAAACUCUGUUAUUAGGGAAGAACAAAUGUGUAAGUAACUAUGCACGUCUUGACGGUACCUAAUCAGAAAGCCACGGCUAACUACGUG